rnacentral:rRNA from 1 species
GACAGAGGGUGCAAACGUUGUUCGGAAUUACUGGGCGUAAAGCGCGCGUAGGCGGCAAGGUAUGUCGUGCGUGAAAUCUCCCGGCUUAACUGGGAGGGGCCGUGCGAAACUGCCUGGCUUGAGGUCGGAAGGGGAAAGUGGAAUUCCGGGUGUAGUGGUGGAAUACGUAGAUAUCAGGAGGAACACCCGUGGCGAAGGCGGCUUUCUAGGAUAUACCUGACACUGAGAAGCGACAGCUAGGGGAGCAAACAGG